UUUCAGAGUAACUAUCUCGCUCAGUCUUAAAUUGUUAGAAAAUUGUCUGAGCAUGUGCAAUUGACUCCACCUAUUGUCCAAGUUCAUAUUCAUGGCAACAACCAAUUAUAUUUACUAGAGGCACAGAUGUAGCUCCGGAAGACACUUUCUCUGCAUACCAAAGUACCUUAGCACAUGAAGCUGAAGCUCAGUUUUGGCUAAUACAAGAAAAUUGGCAUGCAAAUUGGUAGCCAAGUCUAAUUGAGGGCCGCUGUGUUCAUCCAUCGAUAUGCACUGAAAUAUUUCAAACUUAAGACAGGAAAUCAGGCCUGGUUUUGGAUGGUCUUUUCUGGAAUUAGAAUUCCACUUCUAGGCAAAAUGCUUCAUCUCUUGGCAGCCCUGGAGACAAAUGUAUGGUUUAUCAUUAACCACCCAUAUAUAUCACCUGAUGUUCCUGAGAAUAAAUGCUAAGAAGUGUAUCAUUUGUCACUCUAAAUAUAAAUUAUAUUAAAUUAAUGAAUCAUAUGAAUAAAAUAUAACUUAUAAUGAUUUUUAUACAAAUUACAUUAAUGUUCACCAAGCACUAAAUAUCGACCAAUGAAAUGAAAAAAAUUGAUGACGAAUGCGAGUAAG